CUCACCUGUGAGCACACAGGGAGCUUCCAGUGCCAUACACUUCCGGGUUCCGGUCCUCGUCCGGAAGUGAGCCUCACCAUUGCUGUGGAGCUGGAAUGCCAAGACAAGAGGCGUUACAGGUGACUUACUGCAGGCGGUGCUAGAGCAGUACACGGAGGGCACCCACAGGUUGGAGGAGCCGGUGUCGAAGAGGACGGAGAACUCCUGGGCUGGAGUGCCGAUGGAGAUGGUUCCAUAAUACUCGAUCUGCCAAAACAAGACAAAGAACGAUGUGAAGAAAGCCUCCUUUGUUGUGUCUGGCCACAAGUCACCAUGUCUGGGGACAACACAGGGACGAUGACUCUUUCCAAAGGGGCUAAGCAGGCUUGCCCGGAA